rnacentral:misc_RNA from 1 species
AAUUUCUCCCUAACCUUAGGGCUGCCAUGAAAAAUUUACAUAUAAUGGUAUUAAUUAAAAUUUUGAAAUACCACAACCAAAAAUGGGAAUGAGGCAUAUGAUAUAAAAAUUUCACUUUGAUUGAAAUUCCAAUUUAUGAUCUUGCAGCUCAAAAGGCGACUCGGUAUUACAAUGCAAAGCUCAAUUCUGAUAAUUAACAAAGGCAACCUGUAAGGACUAAUCCAGGGAUCG